UACGAAGGGGGCUAGCGUUGCUCGGAAUCACUGGGCGUAAAGGGCGCGUAGGCGGCCAUUCAAGUCAGAGGUGAAAGCCCAAGGCUCAACCUUGGAACUGCCUUUGAUACUGUUUGGCUUGAGACCGGUAGAGGUAAGUGGAACUGCGAGUGUAGAGGUGAAAAUUCGUAGAUAUUCGCAAGAACACCAGUGGCGAAGGCGGCUUACUGGACCGGUUCUGACGCUGAGGCACGAAGGCCAGGGGAGCAAACGGG
rnacentral:rRNA from 1 species